GGCAUGAACAUUUCAUUAGAGAAAUUUAUUUUUUCUAAAUAUCGUGUACAAUUUUUAUUGAACCAUUGCUCUUCCAUAAUGAAGGUCAAAUGUUCGUUACAGAGACGUUCCGAAAAAUUGCGCUUUUAUUGUUUUAAUUUGUUUUAUUCGCCACAGCUCAUAAAACGAGGAACCCCAAGUACUUUUUGCAGGAUAUAAGCGAGGCCUGAACCUUCACAAAUUCAUCCCUUCACCUAGCGACGUUUCAGACGCUGCCAUCUACAGUCUCACUGCACAAAGCAACAUGAACCGUCAGUUUGGAGUGGACCUCAUGUCGGUCGCCGCAAUCGUAAUUGCUUUCAUCGUUAUGGCUCCGAAGGAAGCUCUCGCUAGCCUCGGAGGAGGCGUGGGAGGAAUCGGAGGCAUCCAAGGCGCGGGCAAGAAGUGAAUUUUCGUGCGUCCUGAAUCCAGCCAUGCCAGCUUUGUCACGGUCUAGAUGACCAGCUCGCCUGCAAUAAAAUGCCUGUUGACA